rnacentral:lncRNA from 1 species
GCGUUCGUGGAUUCGAACGUGAGGGCGUGGACAACCCGGAGGGUAGCGCGAAGAUUCAUAGGAGGUUAAGAGAGGUUGAGUCCGUGGAGUCGGUAAUCACCUUGUAAUCUUUUCUCUUAGUGAAUUAUUUUUUCGCGUGUUGGUCCCGUGGGUUUUUCUCCAAGUUGGAGUUUUCCCACGUAAAUCUCGGUGUGCUUUUUAUUUUUCGUAUUUAUUUUUAUUGUAUCGAGAUUUGUGGUUUUUGGUCGUUCACCUAUUCACCCCCCUCUAGGUGAUAGAUACAAUCUAGAUAGAUCCUUGGGCUCCUCAAAACUUUCAAUUGGUAUUAGAGCGGGAUCUAGAUAAAUUGUUAUCUAAUGGCCGAAGUUGGUAACAUUAAUCGACCUCCGCUCUUCGACGACACGAAUUAUGCCUAUUGGAAAGUUCGCAUGAGAGCUUUUCUAAUUGCUAUCGAUGAGCGGGUUUGGCAAUCAAUUGAAUUUGGGUGGAAACAUCCGAUAGAAAAGGUCGAUAAUGUUGAAAAGCUAAAACCACGGAACAAAUGGACGAAAGAAGAAAACGAGACAUCUUCGUUUAACGGCAAGGGCAUAAACGCUUUAUUUAAUGCAUUGUCUCAAACGGAGUUUACUCGUGUUUCGGUGCGAAACGGCAAAGAAAAUUUGGGAUACUCUACAAGUUACACAUGAAGGAACGAGCUUAGUAAAGGUUAAAAAAUUGCAAAUGCUAACAAGCAAGUUUGAUUCUAUUUCUAUGGAUGAAAACGAGACCUUUACCGAGUACUAUACACGUCUACAAGACGUUGUGAAUACAUGUGCUAACUUGGGAGAGAAAAUUCCGGAUUCAAAGGUUAUUAGAAAGAUUCUUCGAACUCUUCCGGAACGCUUUCAGGCAAAGGUUGCCGCGAUCGAAACGGUUAAGCAUCCGGACGAGAUGAAAGUCGAAGAAUUAGUAGGUGCUUUGCAAACUUAUGAGAUGACUUUUCCUACUAAUCAAUCUUUUGUCAAGUCUUCUUCUAAAAGCACAGGGGUUGCGUUGAAAUCGACGAAAGAGGAAGACGGAGACUCAAAUUCCGAUGGAGAGAUCUCAAUUGCCGACUUUGAACAUCAACUUGCGCUUCUCACGAAAAAGUUUCGCUGGAAUUUCCGAAAGAGCAAAUCGAAUAAACCUUCAUCUUCGAAGCAACAAACGUUUCCUAAGUCUACAUCCAAGGAGAAGAAGCGUGCAAAGGCUUCAAAAGAAAAAGAUGUAUUUGAAGGUGAGAUCCAAUGCUUCAAGUGCAAAGGCUACGGCCACAUCGCGACAGAUUGUCCUUCAAAGAAAGUUUAUAAAUCGAAGGCUAUGCAAGCAAAGACUUGGGAUGAUUCUUCUAGUGAAUCAUCGUCAAGUGACGAAGAAAAGAAUGAUCAAAUUGCUUUAUUUGCUAAUACUCCUUCGUCGAACGUUGUUUGUUUAUCCUCUUUUGCAACUAAUUCGAAUGUUUCUUUUUCCUCGCGUGACUCAUCGAACGACAACGGCGAAAGCGAGGAGGAAUCAAAUGACGAUGAUAUAGCGGAAGCCUACAACCAACUUCUUAUCGAGUCAAAGAAGAUGGCUAAAUUAAAUAAGAAGUUGAGGCGUCGUUUAUUGAAAUUCGAAGAAGAUAACCACAACUUGAAGACCACGAACAAAGUUCUUGAGGAGGAAAGGGAAACAAAUUUGAAAAAUAAUUCUAUCCUCCAAGAGAAGCUUGAUGAAGCAGAAUCAACGAUUAACUCUUAUAAAGAUAAAGUUGGAUUUUUGGAGCAUCAAUAUGAGGAAUCGCAUACAUCCAACAGAUUAUUGACCGAUCAAGUUCGUUAACUCCAAUCCGAUCUUCAACAAUUUUCUUCGGGAUCAAAGAAGUUGGACAAAAUGCUUGGAUUGGGUCAAACGAGCAAAUUGGGCCUUGGAUAUGAACGGACAUAUGUUGAGAAGGAUCAAACGGCGACAUCUAAAGUCUCAACAACUUUAAAAGGCAAAGUGUGUCAUCGAUGUGGCAUCAAAGGACACAUCAAAAGAAAUUGCCCAAACAAAGAAAAGAAGAAUCAAUCGGCAACUUCUAAUCGUCAAGUGGCACCCUCUACUACUCGAUUUUCCCCACAGGAUUUCAAGGAAAAACAAUUAAGUCGAGUACCUCGAGGGAAUCGGAGCUCCAACGCACAACGUCAAGCCCGACCAACGCCACCAUCAACGAAGCGAUCAACGGUUGAUCCAAAGUCAAAACAAGCCAUGCCGAACGUCUACAAGCCGAGACAACACAAAAUCCAACAAGUUUGGAUUCGGAAAGGUGAUAUCUUUCCUUGUUCUUCAUCUUAGUUUGUUUUGAUUCUUUAUGUAAUGCUUUGAUAGGUGCUUAUUGUAUAUUUUUAGUCAUUGCAUUACAUGUUUAGACGAUUUUUGGUGCUUUGGUUUUUAUUUGGUUAAAAAUCAUUUUUUGAGGAAAGGUAUUUGGGAAUUUCAAAAUCUUUGAGAGAGGAGAUAAUUGAGAAUCAAUUUUUUUUUAGGAGAGAAAUUUUUUAAAGAUUGUUUAAACGGGUUUUAUCUUCACAAUCAUAUUAAGUUAAAUUCAUAUUAAUUAUCGUCUUUACUCCACUAUUUAUUAUUUUGACGAUAAUUUAUUAUAUGAUUUCUUAUUGCAUAAAUUCAUCAAAAUUUUGAAAUCAAAUUUGAUUUUUUGGUGAUUAAUUCAUCUUGGUUGUGAGUGUUGGAUAUGAUGAAUGGAUAUUCUCUAAUUGACUAAAAUUCGUCAAAAUUAUUUUCAACUGUGAGAUUGUCUAAUUUAGGGGGAGUUUGAAAUUGUUUAAAAAAAAAAAAAAGGAGAAAAAGAAACUCCUAUGUUUAAAAGAUGUGGAAAGAGUUACAUCCAAAAGGAGUGUGAAAACUACCACCACAUGUAGGAAAGAGCUACCACCCCGGUCGUCCGGCAAGUGUGUGAAGCUACCACAUGGUAUUUAAUUGAAAAAGCCGAAAAAGGUUGGAAAAAUAUAAAUAUUUUAGAAUUUUCGGAGUAAUAAGGUGCUAGUUUGAAAAAGAUGCUCAAAGAGCCACCCCCGGUGCCAUAUUAGUUAAAUCUCUAUUUUGAAUGUAUUGCGACAAAUUGGUGUCAAUUUUGUUGAAUUUCUAAAAAUCAUUUUUCAUCAACUUACAUCUUGAUGUUUUUGAAUCAUUAAAUUAUUUUUGAUUUUGAAAUUUUGAUGUUUUGAUGUGUUUUGAAAUUUUAUAAUAUCUUAUUUUCAUUACAAUGAUUUUUGGAGUAAAAGCCUUAACUAUAUGAAUUUAAUUUAAAUGUGAUAGAUUUUUAAAGUAUAUUUUUCGAAAAUUUUUUUUUCACAUUUUGGUCCUUGUACCGGAACAAGAACCCGUGUACCGGUACAAGGUCUGCGGCCGAGCGAAAUAUAACCGGGUAUAACGCUUCGAUCUUUCUCAAAACUCAAUCGUUUUCCAAAAUUUUUGGUUCUGUGAGCUCCAGAGACUCUCCUUCAUUCGUUCUACACAUUUUUCCUGUGGAUUUGUAAGUUUUUAGCAUCAAAUUUGUGAGUUUUAUCCCGAUUUUGCUAUUUUCACUGUUUUUGCGGGAUAAGGGUUUGAUCUCUGUUCUAAUCCGUUUUUGAUGCAAUUUUUUGCUAUAGAUCAGUGUCUUAGGCUAUUACCUUGCUUGUAGAACACUUGAACAACAUCAAAACAAGUUAUUUUUCGCUGAUCUAAAAUUUAUGUUCUAAUGUGCAUGUAAUUUCGGGAUUUUUCAAAAAGUUCGAUUUUUGCUGAAAUAUUUUGCAUGAUCUGGUUAGAAAUAGCUUUUGUAUGCAUUCUAAUGUAAUUAGAAAUUUUUUCGCUAUUUUUACAGAUUUUUUCCAGAAAUUAUGUUCAUGUAUGCAAUUUUUGAUAUAGGAAAAUGGCAUUUUUGCUCGUACUGGUGCUUUUGGUGCUCAUGGCUGGGAGACGGAGCCGUGGUAGUGGUAGAGGUCGUCAUGGGGUUUCUAAAAGGACACGUACCACUGAAGAAGCGUCCGGGUCUGAUCCGGAUUAUCAGGAGAGCUCCCCUGAAGAAUCUGAAGAACCUAUUGCGCGACUUGACAAAGGCAAAGGUUUAGCUGGCGAAUCAUCUCACGGUGGUGGUUCUCGUACUCGUGAGGGACGUUCAAAACAAGCUGCAGAGGUUCCUCCAGCACGGCGAAGGUUGUUUGCAUCAAAGUCGUGCAUAGCUGAACGCUUCGUGAACUUCCAUGAUCUGAUUCGGGAGGUUCCUGAUUUUGGACGACUACUACAGCGUGCGCCUAUUGAGCCUGUUGGACGGGUCCCUGCGAAGGCUCCUUUCUGUGUAGAACUCAUUAGGGAGUUCUAUAUGAAUGGAAAGGUGCUUGCUGAAGAUGAUGAAACAGGCACUUUUAUCUUCGAGACUGUUGUGCGUCAGAGGAGAUUUCCAGUUACUCCCUAUGAUAUUGGAGAGAUCUUGGGGAUGCAUGUGGACACUUCAGGUCUUCUCUAUACUUCAGGAGGAUUUCAAGCAUCAACUCACCUGGAUAUCGUUCUUGGAGCUAUAUGCAAAGCCGGUGUUUACAUGACUCAUGGUUACAUUGAAUCCAAGGACUUAUUACCUGAGUAUCACUUGCUAUCCUUGGUUAUGAGCUACAAUGUUCAACCAACUAUCGGCACAAAGAGGAUCCGCUGGGAGAGAUUAGUGUUGCUAUAUCUACUUGGUCAUCCCGAGCAGGCUCGUGGGUUGAACAUCAACAUUCCAUUUCUGAUCUGGCAAAGGAUGAUUCACGUAAUUCAGGGUGCCACUCGACGGGAUCUACUACCAUUCCCUGUUCUGAUUACGAGGAUUCUUCAAGCAAAUGGAGUGGAUACAUCUUGUGACAAGUAUGAUGUUGGCCUUGGGCCUAUUGACUCAGUGACUUGGGCUAAGUCGGUUAGCACUCUCAAGUCAUUCCAUCAGACCAAAGGGCCACCUCCUGAAGCAUCUAGUCCAGCACCUCCACCGAGAGCAGCUUCUAGUUCUGCUCCUCCGCCUACAUCUCGAGGAAGUUAUGAUACUUCAUCUAGUUCGGGGGAAGCGACGACAUUGGAAUCAGUUAAGAAAGAUUUGCGAAAGUUAAAGAAGAAGGUGAACAACAUUGGAAGGAAAGUUGAGUCCGGCAUCAAAAAGUUUGAGUUAAGUAUCAAAAGGUUGAUGGAUAAGAUGGGGUGUAGACAUGAUGAUAUUUGAGAACCUACUCCAUCUUCUGCUUCGUAUCAGCGGUCAUCUUCACGACAUCCUCUCAUUCCACCGUCUGGUGAUGCUCCUGAGGCUGGAGGUUCUGGAGCUGGUGCUGGAGAUGGUGAUGAUGAUGAUGAGGACACGGAGUGAUUUCUUCGUCGAGCUUAGUCUCUUUCUUUCACUGCAUUUGAUGUUUAGGACGAUGUUGUUAGAUUUGCUUGCUUAUCUUUCUGUAAUAUGUUUUUACUUUCGUUUAGGCCUAUAGCUCUGACUAAACUACUUUCAUGUUUUUCUAGUAUGUUUUCUCUUUCUAUUUGCUUUCUUUUGGCAAUUUUUGACAAAAAGGGGGAGAGCGUAGAUGAAGGAGGAGAGCAUAGAUGAAGGGGGAGAGCAUGGAUGAGCAGGCUUUGACACUGAAGCAGAGGAUGAUAAGUUCAAGAACAAAGGGGGAGAUGUGAACAAAGGGGGAGAAGGUAUAAGAGUUUAGUGCUAAUCAUUUUUGAAUGAAGUAUUUUGCAGGAAAUCAAGACUUCAUGACUCCUAGUUGUGUCUAAGUCAUAGAGUCUGUUUUAGGAGUUUUGAUGUAAUUUUGAGUUUCAUAUUGUAUUUGGAUUACACGCGAGGGGUUCAAUGUUUUGGUGAUGACAUUGAACUUCGUUUUUUCUUUAAAUUGUAAUUUGUGUGUUUUUGUGUGUUUUGUCACGAAAUUGCCAAAGGGGGAGAUUGUUAGGUCCUAUGUGUUGGCAAGUUUCGUGGGUCGAGUCGGAGUCUUGAAGAAGUUCGGAGCGGAGUAUUGAAGAUCGAAGAAUCCAAGACUUCGAAGAAUCGGAAAGGACGCAAAACACGCAAAACUUGAAUCACGAUGCGUAGGUAAGUUUUAAAUCUUGUUUAUGGUGAUUCAUACUUAUUUAUAGAUCUUAGAAUCAUAUUUUCAAGUUGUAAUUGAUUAGAAAGUUUCUAAGAGUUUGUAAAACCCAAAACAAUGCAUUUUCAGCGAAAAUUGCAUUGUUGUACCGGUACAAGGGUUUUCUGUCCAGGGUACAGCCAUCAACAUUUGCGCAGAAAGUUUGAUGGUUGUUCCGGUACAAGCUUCAUGCUGUACCGGUACAAGCCCUGUUCCGGAACAAGCUGAAGCUAUCCAGGGUACAGGAGCUUCGCAGAAAAAUCUUCCGUCAUGGUGUACCCUGGACAGCUUUCCUUGUUCCGGUACAAGGUGCUGAUUUUGGAAAGAAACUUUCUAAUCCUACUCUGUUUUGAUUCUAAAGUCUAUAAAUAAGCUAUAGGGGUUCUCUAACUGAUUAAGCAUCACGAAAAUACAUAUUUGAGAAACCCUAGAGGCUCGGAUUUCAUCAAAAACCUAUUUUCUACAAAAAGCCUCUUUUAGAUCAAAUCGAGAUAUUGAAAUUUGAUAUUAAUAUGUCGAUUUGAUCUCCGCUUCGCUUGGAGUUCUAUUCCCUGGUUUUCUACAAUACUCCAAAGCGAAGGAUCACCAUAUUCAUGAUAUUCUUCAUGGUGGCGUCGUGGAUUCGGCGUAUUUGACGGCGGUUCGUGGAUUCGGAUCGUGGGCUCGUGGAUUCGAGUGGCGUCGUGGAUUCGGCGUGAUUGAAGCUUCGUGGAUUCGAAGUGGAGGCGUUCGUGGAUUCGGACGUGAGGUCGUGGACAACCCGGAGGGUAGCGCGAAGAUUCAUCGGAGGUUAAGAGAGGUUGAGUCCGUGGAGUCGGUAAUCACCUUGUAAUCUUUUCUCUUAGUGAAUUAUUUUUUCGCGUGUUGGUCCCGUGGGUUUUUCUCCAAGUUGGAGUUUUCCCACGUAAAUCUCGGUGUGCUUUUUAUUUUCCGCAUUUAUUUUUAUUGCAUCGAGAUUUGUGGUUUUUGGCCGUUACACCUAUUCACCCCCCUCUAGGUGAUAGAUACAAUCUAGAUAGAUCCUUGGGCUCCUCAAAACUUUCAUUCUUAAGUCCCAACGACCUAUCCCUAAGCUCUGAUACCAACUU